GGAUGAACGUUGGCGGCGUGCCUAAUACAUGCAAGUCGAACGAAGACUGUAGUAAUACUGUCUUAGUGGCGAACGGGUGAGUAACGCGUGGGUGACCUGCCCCGAAGUGUGGGAUAACAGUUCGAAAGGAUUGCUAAUACUGCAUAAUAUCCAAGAGAUUAGACGCUUUUGGAUUAAAGGAGUAAUUCGCUUCGGGAGGGGCCCGCAUCCCAUCAGCUAGUUGGUAAGGUAAUGGCUUACCAAGGCGAUGACGGGUAGGGGACCUGAGAGGGUGGCCCCCCACAAUGGAACUGAAACACGGUCCAUACACCUACGGGUGGCAGCAGUAGGGAAUAUUAGAAAUGGACGAAAGUCUGAUCUAGCAACACCGCGUGUGCGAAGAAGGCCUUCGGGUCGUAAAGCACUUUUUGGAAGGAAUAGGAAGGAAUGUACUUCCAGAAUAAGUCUCGGCUAACUACGUGCCAGCAGCCGCGGUAACACGUAGGAGGCAAACGUUAUCCGGAUUUACUGGGCGUAAAGCGCGUGUAGGUGGUACUGUAAGUAGGGCGUGAAAGCUCCUGGCUCAACUGGGAGAGGUCGUUCUAAACUACAGAACUAGAGGAUGGUAGAGGGAGGUGGAAUUCCAGGUGUAGCGGUGGAAUGCGCAGAUAUCUGGAGGAACACCGGUGGCGAAGGCGGCCUCCUGGACCAUUCCUGACACUCAGACGCGAAAGCUAGGGUAGCAAACGGGAUUAGAGACCCCGGUAGUCCUAGCCCUAAACGAUGUAGACUAGGCGUCGGAAGCUUAAUCGCUUUCGGUGUCCAAGCUAACGCGAUAAGUCUACCGCCUGGGGACUACGGCCGCAAGGUUAAAACUCAAGGGAAUUGACGGGUCCCCGCACAAGCAGCGGAGCGUGUGGUUUAAUUCGUUGCUACACGAAGAACCUUACCUGGGUUUGACAUAGCAGUGGUAGGGAAGCGAAAGCGGACCGACCCUUCGGGGAGCUGUUACAGGUGUUGCAUGGCUGUCGUCAGCUCGUGUCGUGAGAUGUUCGGUUAAGUCCGCUAACGAGCGCAACCCGCGUUGUGUGUUACAAGUGUCACACAACACCGCCGGUAUUAAGUCGGAGGAAGGUGCGGAUGACGUCAAGUCAGCAUGACCUUUAUAUCCAGGGCUACACACACGCUACAAUGGUCAGCACAAUAGGUUGCCAAGUCGUGAGACGGAGCCAAUCCUCCAAAGCUGGCCUCAGUUCAGAUUGCAGGCUGCAACUCGCCUGCAUGAAGUUGGAGUUGCUAGUAACCGCAGGUCAGCAAUACUGCGGUGAAUACGUUCCCGGGGAU
rnacentral:rRNA from 1 species